rnacentral:lncRNA from 1 species
GAAGAAACUAAGCCAAGAUCUAAGAUCACAGAACAUUCUGAAGAGGCUGCCAGGCACAUUCAGGAAUUCCAAUUUCCCAAACCAGGUCGGUGAGUACUUUUCAAGACAGGAUGCAAAAGGAGCUUAAAGCCAA